GGCACGUUUUUGCGAAGUCAAGAUGAUUAUUUAUGUGCCAAAUUUAAAUCCAGUUGUGUUCAAACGCGAAAUAUCAAAGAGGCAUGAAUCUUAAAGACAGAUGAAAAGCGUCGUCUGUAUUUCAUUCCAUAGCUGAGGAGAAUGAUCGCUGAAUAGCAAUGAAUUCAUUCAGACAGAUUAAAGGAGCUUGUGUCAAGGAUCAAAAAAAGAGGAAUGUUGAAUACAGAAAGUAAAUGCCUCGGGAAGAGAAUGAAUGACCAAGUGUGCGUCUGUGUACACAGAUUGAAGCAGAGAGAAAUGUAAAGCACCCUUUUACACUCAGAGGUACGCAGGCAAGUCAUCAGCGCGCAGCUUAAAAAUCAGAAGCAAGAAUGGCAGGAAUGAACUUCAAGAGGACUGUGUGUGUGUGUGUGUGUG